UAAAGUGUUGCCCAAACUGACCUUUUCGCCCUUCCAAGCAAAUAUUUUUUCCCAUGCUAAAGGUUAUUCCAGUAAUUAACAAAAUAAAAAUAGCUUCAUGCCAAUUGUUCUCUUCUCAUUGGUCACUUCAAUGAUCUGUUGUACUUUCAGUUUACUUUUCAUCUCACACGUUUUCUCUUCUCUCUCACACGUUUUCUCCCCUCUCUCACACGUUUUCUCUUUUCUCUUUCCUUUUCCCUUCAAACCCUAGCACAGCCACCCCUUUCUCCAUCUUCAGCGCUGCUGAAACUAUUUGGGAAAAGGAGGACGAAGCAACUCGCAACAAAUCUUUGAUUUCAGAAGAAAGAAACAACUAAGCAAUACAUCUUUUCAGUGGAUAGCAGUAUACAUCCUGAAUGUUUUUUGAUAAUUUUAACACACAACAUACUUGGGACUACAACAAACUCACAACUGCAGAUUUCUAUGGUUGAGUUUGAUGGUGAAGAAACUGGAUCUGGAUCUAAGGUUUUCAAGUACCAUGUCCAAGUGAGUUAGGUAUGUGCAAACAAAGAUCUAAGGUUUUCAUUCAUUGUUAUACACACAACAUAAAAUGGAUUCAACAUAUAAUGCAUUUCGAAACUAUUUCACAUGGCCUUUCUAUUCAUCACACGGUCUACAUCUCUAUCUGCUGGUGUUGGCGAUGACGGGGUUUUUCGUUCAUCGAUAGCUUAUGUCUUUGUCAUGUCCAUACAUCUCACUGAUACCACACAUGAAAAGAUCUUCGAACUUAUUGACGUUGUCUAAGACAUGGGAUGAGCAGUUGAUAAAACAAGUUAUCGGUUUCUUCGUUCUUGAAAACAUGAGGGUGGAUGUUGUCUCAAAGUUGAUUCGUAACUCUGAAGGUUUCUGAUUAUGCAAAGGAAUUGGUGGAGAUGAAACAUGAAGGAAAGCAAGCAUUUAUUACAGAACUAUGAAGAGUAAGCAAUGGUUAUGCUAGAGGAACUUCCAAAUAUACUUUUACAUUGGUCCACACUUUAUGAAGGUUCGAGCUCAAAAUCAUGUUGGAGAAAGGAUUGAAGUUUGAGAAUGAAGCUUUAUCCGUGCACGCACUUUCAUUCUUGACAGUCUUAUAUACCAUCCAAAAUUCACGGUCAAGUUUACAUCUAGCAUGUUCCAGAAAUAGGCUUGUGCACAAGUUGUAUGCAUUUCAUUAUGUUCCAUUUAUUAAACUUUUUGGAAGAUCAAUGCACUCCUCUAUUUCAAUUUAAAUGUUUUAUUGCAUAUUGGUAUUCCACAUUUGUGAGGGAUUGUUGUUAUUGUCUUUUGCAGAUGACAGUUAUGUGGACAAGUGGAUAUGGUAUAACUGAAGCUACAACUUUUGUUGAAUGGGGUUCUGAGGGAAAAACACACGGGCAAAGUCCUGCUGGAACAUUGACAUUUGAUCGUAAUAGCAUGUGUGGUUCACAUGCCCAAACGGUUGGUUGGCGUGACCCUGGUUUCAUACACACAAUUUUUCUCAAAAAUCUGUGGCCAAAUUUAGUGUAUGCAUUCAUAAAUCAAUUUAUGUUCAUGACACAACAAGCAUUUGCAGAGUUUGUUUUAUAGUUUUCUUCAAACUGUGAGUAUAUAACACCUCUUAAGAAUUAAGAUCCUACAUAUUUUACAUCUCUUCUACAUUGAUUAUUGUUGAAAAUCUAAGAUAUAAAAAAGUCCAUUUCUUGAUAAUGCAUUUAUAUUUCUGAUGAACAGCUUAUUUUAUGUAUGUUGCUUUCAGAUUUUGAUAACUAUUAUUUUGGAUUGUUUUCUUUUCAAUUCAAACAUCCAUUGCCGCUAAUACAUGGGUUGUUAGUGGUGCUCCUCAAACCAAAGGUAAGAUAAUACACACUUCAUAUAUUUACUAGGCAUUGCUGCUAAUACACGGGUUGUUAAUGGUGCUCUUCAAACCAAGAGUAAGAUAAUACACUCACUUACUUCAUAUAUUUACUAGGCAUUGCUGCUAAUAUAUGGGGUGUUAAUGGUGCUCCCUAAACCAAGAGUAAGAUAAUACACUCACUUCAUAUAUUUACUAGCCAUUGCUUCCCACUAUUUAUAUAAUGUAGUGCUUGUCUUUUGGCUGAUUAUUUACCGUCGUAUGAAACUAAAAUUUAAUUUUCCCUAAUGCAGAAUUGCAGGACAUACUCCCUAGCAUUGAUGAGUCACAUGCUUCUAUUUUACUUACUUUUCUUAUUAUACCAAUAUUGUUAAAUUGUGUCUCUAAUGGUUCUACAUCAUAUCAGUAUUAGAUGCAAUUCACAAUUGUUUUUGACAGUUGCAUAGCAGAAUGAGCAAAACUAGGAUUUUAUGUGAUUUUCCAUUGACAACAUUGUACUAAAUAUAUCUGCAUGUUGAUGGAUAUUCAUGUAUCUGUAACCACUAAUUACAAUUUAUUUAAACUUUAAAAUAUUUUAUGA